AAUGAACGCUGGCGGCAGGCCUAACACAUGCAAGUCGAACGAGUGGCGGACGGGUGAGUAAUAUCUGGACAACUGCCCUAUAGAGGGGGAUAAAUACUGGGAACGGGAGGUAAUACCGCGUACCGUUGGAUGUGCUAGGAGGAGAUUAGCUAGAAGGGGGGGUAACGGCUAACAUAGGUGACGAUCCCUAGCUGGUCUGAGAGGAUGACCAGCCACACUGGAACUGAGACACGGUCCAGACUCCUACGGGAGGCAGAAGUGGGGAAUAUUGCACAAUGGGCGCAAGCCUGAUGCAGCCAUGCCGCGUGUAUGAAGAAGGCCUUCGGGUCGUAAAGUACUUUCAUCGAGGAGGCGGUACUCGCAGAAGAAGCACCGGCUAACUCCGUGCCAGCAGCCGCGGUAAUAC
rnacentral:rRNA from 1 species